rnacentral:rRNA from 1 species
AUUGAACGCUGGCGGCAGGCCUAACACAUGCAAGUCGAGCGGAUGAAGGGAGCUUGCUCCUGGAUUCAGCGGCGGACGGGUGAGUAAUGCCUAGGAAUCUGCCUGGUAGUGGGGGAUAACGUCCGGAAACGGGCGCUAAUACCGCAUACGUCCUGAGGGAGAAAGUGGGGGAUCUUCGGACCUCACGCUAUCAGAUGAGCCUAGGUCGGAUUAGCUAGUUGGUGGGGUAAAGGCCUACCAAGGCGACGAUCCGUAACUGGUCUGAGAGGAUGAUCGGUCACACUGGAACUGAGACACGGUCCAGACUCCUACGGGAGGCAGCAGUGGGGAAUAUUGGACAAUGGGCGAAAGCCUGAUCCAGCCAUGCCGCGUGUGUGAAGAAGGUCUUCGGAUUGUAAAGCACUUUAAGUUGGGAGGAGGGGCAGUAAGUUAAUACCUUGCUGUUUUGACGUUACCAACAGAAUAAGCACCGGCUAACUUCGUG